rnacentral:tRNA from 1 species
AAGGUUUUAAGUUAAAAUAAACUAAUAGCCUUCAAAGCUAUAAAUAAACGAGUCCUUUUAAACCUUA